UACAGAGGGUGCAAGCGUUAAUCGGAAUUACUGGGCGUAAAGCGUGCGCAGACGGUUGCGUAAGUCAGAUGUGAAAGCCCCGGGCUCAACCUGGGAAUUGCAUUGGAUACUGGGCAGGCUAGAGUGCGGUAGAGGGUAGUGGAAUUCCCGGUGUAGCAGUGAAAUGCGUAGAGAUCGGGAGGAACACCAGUGGCGAAGGCGACUACCUGGACCAGCACUGACACUGAGGCACGAAAGCGUGGGGAGCAAACAGGG
rnacentral:rRNA from 1 species